rnacentral:rRNA from 1 species
CAGUAGCCGCGGGAAUACGUAGGGUGCAAGCGUUAAUCGGAAUUACUGGGCGUAAAGCGUGCGCAGGCGGUUUGUUAAGACAGAUGUGAAAUCCCCGGGCUUAACCUGGGAACUGCAUUUGUGACUGGCAAGCUAGAGUAUGGCAGAGGGGGGUGGAAUUCCGCGUGUAGCAGUGAAAUGCGUAGAUAUGCGGAGGAACACCGAUGGCGAAGGCAGCCCCCUGGGCCAAUACUGACGCUCAUGCACGAAAGCGUGGGGAGCAAACAGGAUUAGAUACCCGAGUAGUCCCUGUCUCUUAUAC